rnacentral:tRNA from 1 species
GUUGAUCUGGUGUUAAAGCAUGUCAGUUUUUCGUACUGAAGGUGGCCGUUUGGGUUGGUCGGUCAGCA